rnacentral:lncRNA from 1 species
GGUGUCGAGCACAUCAGAGUAUUACUCACUGAAGUGAGAAACCUUUGCGUGGAUUAUGUGUAAUGGAGGAAAUAGAUACCUGAUGCUAAAACGUUUUCAUAUCCGCUAUGCUAUGAUACAAUAAAAACCUGCAGUUUCAAAAGUAAUUGACCUUAAUGUCCACAAUUUUGUCAAGUAGGACAUGUUCCUGGAUAAAUAUCUUUUGUUGAUAUUAUUUUGAAAUUGCAGGUGACAAAGCACUUCAACAUUCCCGGCAGUCAGAGAUAAUCAGAGAUCAUCAGUGGCUAAAACGCCCGUCAGGUGUGGAUUUAUCAUCAAAAGGUCAAGCAAUGUCACCGUAGCCACCAGAUCCAGUCUGUAUCCAAGUCAGAGGGUCACUGCAGUCACCCGGAUCCGGUAUGUAUCCAGCCCAGAUGCUGGAUUAGCACCUAGAAAGGACCUCUACAGCCCUGAAAGACAGCGGAGACCAGGACAACUAGAGCCCCAGAUACAGAUCCCCUGUAAAGACCUUGUCUCAGACGACCACCGGGACAAGACCACAGGAAACAGAUGAUUCUUCUGCACAAUCUGACUUUGCUGCAGCCUGGAAUUGAACUGCUGGAUUCGUCUGGCCAGAGGAGAACUGGCCCCCCAACUGAGCCUGGUUUCUCCCAAGGUUUUUUUUUCUCCAUUCUCUCACUGAUGGAGUUUUGGUUCCUUAUUUAAACUGAACUGAGCUGCAUGAUGACAUCACUGAAUUCAAUGAUGAACUGCCUUUAACUGUCAUUUUGCAUUAUUGACACACUGUUUUCCUAAUUAAUGUUGUUCAGUUGCUUUGACGCAAUCUUUUUUGUUUAAAGCGCUAUAUAAAUAAAGAUGACUUGACUUGACUUGAAUGGUUUAGCACCUCAGUAUUUGAACAAGCUCUUGUUACAUUAUAGUCCUCCACGUCUGCUCCGUUCACAAAACUCUGGCAAUUUGAUAAUACCUAGAAUAUCAAAGUCAACUGCGGGCGGCAGAUCCUUCUCCUAUUUAGCGCCCAAACUCUGGAAUAACCUACCUAACAUUGUUCGGGAGGCAGACACACUCUUGCAGUUUAAAUCUAGAUUAAAGACCCAUCUCUUUAACCUGGCUUACACAUAACAUACUAAUACACUUCUAAUAUCCAAAUCCGUUAAAGGAUUUUAGGCUGCAUUAAUUAGGUAACCGGAACCGGGAACACUUCCCAUAACACCAGAUGUACUUGCUACAUCGUUAGUAAGAAUGGCAUCUAUGCUAAUAUUAGUCUGUUUCUCUCUUAUUCCGAGGUCACCGUAGCCAAGAAUGGCAUCUACGCUCAUAUUAGUCUGUUUCUCUCUUAUUCCGAGGUCACCGUAGCCACCCGGAUCCAGUCUGUAUCCAGAUCAGAUGGGUGGAUCAGCUCCUAGAAAGGACCUCUACAGCCCUGAAAGACAGCGGAGACCAGGACAACUAGAUGAACCGCAGAGACAGAUCCCCUGUAAAGACCUUGUCUCAGACGACCACCAGGACAAGACCAUAGGAAACAGAUGAUUCUUCUGCACAAUCUGACUUUACUGCAGCCUGGAAUUGAACUGCUUGGUUUCGUCUGGUCAGAGGAGAACUGGCCCCCUGACUGAGCCUGGUUUCUCCCAAGGUUUUUUUCUCCAUUCUGUCACUGAUGGAGUUUUGGUUCCUUGCCGCUGUCGCCUCUGGCUUGCUUAGUUGGGGACACUUCAUUUACAGCAAUAUCGUUGACUUGAUUGCAAAUUAUUGCACAGAUACUAUUUAAACUGAACUGAGCUGCAUGAUGACAUCACUGAAUUCAAUGAUGAACUGCCUUUAAAUGUCAUUGUGCAUUAUUGACACUGUUUUCCUAAUUAAUGUUGUUCAUUUGCUUUGACGCAAUCUUUUUUGUUUAAAGCGCUAUAUAAAUAAAGAUGACUUGACUUGACUUGUGUGUUCACUGCUGUGUGUGUGCACUUUGGAUGGGUUAAAUGCAGAGCACGAAUUCUGAGUAUGGGUCACCAUACUUGGCUGUAUGUCACGUCACUUUAAAAGUAUCAUCAAGUCAAGAUACCACACAAAUAUGGGUGGAAGGCAAUUCGCAAUUGGAAAAGUCAUAAUUUUUCUAGACGCCGCUAUCUAGCAGCAUACAAUCAAUAUGUUUGCAUUUGAGGAGUAGCGUAAUGCAUAAGAGUUGAGACCAAAUUGUAAAUACACACAAAUGUUUUCUUUUAUUGACCAUGCGUUAAUGGAAAUGAUAUUUCUGUCUAAUAAAACAGCAUUCAACGACCGCAGAGACAAAAGCACCAUUUGAGACUGACCCAAACAACACAUUUAAACCAUCACUGCAGCACUUUCUGCUUUCCGAGAGGAUGCAAUAAAAACCAGUAAUUAGGCACAACCA